ACAAUCCAGUUAUAAAUACAUUCUUGCUGUUUUCGGUCCUUUGAUUUGUGAGAAAAAGGUACGGAAUGUUUUAAGGGCGGGUCUUUCUGUACUGGUAUACUGUAAAUGCUAAUUGCUUGUUAUUCUGAUAUGAAAUUAUUGUAAUUUAAAAACAAAUAAUCAUACUCAUGAUGCCGCCCCCACCAGGCCCUCAUCAUCCCCCGCAUCACCCCCACCCCCCAGGCCACCCUGGUCCACCACACGAACCACCACGCAAUCCACCGCAUAGACCACCACCACCACCUCACCAUUAAAGAAGCCCAUAUGCCUGUAAAUGUUUUGUAACUUUGGUAGCAGAUCUCGGAUCACAAUAAUCCGGGAAACUAUGUUAUCGUCUUACCUUCGUGACCAAUUUUACUGCUAUUUAUGUGUGUUUAUUUAUAUAAUGUUCUUAAGUAUUCAAUAUUUAGAUGUAUUAUCUAAACAUAUGACAAGAUAAUAUAUUCAAGUUGUCCAACAACAAACCCUGUUUGGUAUUCAAAACAUUCCCGUGACUUGCGACCGCCUUGAACUUAUCACCACAUCUUUCAAAGUUACAGCUGACUUUACAUAUCAUAUAAAUAUAUUUUUGCAUUUUAGAACAGUGCAGUAACGGAAUACUGAAGAUAUGAGUUUUGUAGUGAGCAUUUUGGAUUUAGAAUUUUGAAAAAUGCUAUGUGGGCGAAAAUACUUUACAUUUAUUUUUAGUUUAAGAAUACUUGAUAAACAUUUUAGAGUAUCCACUUAAUUUAUGUUAAUGAUAUAUGAGUAUACUUUUAAAGCAUAAUUAGUUUUAUUUAUUAUUAAAAUAUUUAAGGCGUAUUUAUAAAUAUUUCAUAUAUUUCAACGUUAAAUGUGUUAUAAAAUAUAAUAUUGUUGUUGUAGAUUUUCAGCAGAACAAUAACGUUUUAUUGUUUCAAGCAAAGGAAACGUUGCAAAAAUAAAACUGCUUCUUUCGGAAUCAUAUUUUCCGGUCAAUAGAUUUUAAUAUAUAAUAGGUACUAGCUUUCUAAUGUGUAGUUUUAAAGUACUAUUCCGCAUAAUACUACACAAGUUUUCAUAGACAAGAUAGACUAUUCUACACGGAGUGUUGGCCGAGCAGAUUUCUCGAACAAACAUGGGCUGAAGACUCGUCAUGGAUGUAGAUCCCAAGUGUCAACUUCGUUGUAAAUGAAGACGUUACUCGGAGUUCUACAGGCUUAAAAUGUACAUUCUAAAUGGACUUGUCUUGGAAUUAUCUUAUGUUAGUCAAGUUAUAAUGAAAUACGUUUAUUUAUAUGAUGAACGGUUAAAGGGAAAUAGGUUUAUUAAAGUGACAAUUUAUAACUCAGAUAGCUGAAUGAAUGAUGAGAAAACUUAUACUCAUUUCCCAAAAAAUUGAGAUUUCCGAGUUGAAAUGACGAAACUGAAGUACCUAUGUGGAAUAUGACUUUUAAAGAGCUGUAGGUAUAUUCUAGCAAUACAAAUUAUCUUGUCAGUGCUAGGCCCGUCAUGGAUAUCUUAGAGCUAGUGAGCUAGCGAGAACUAUUUUCUGAAUCGUUGCCCCUGACCAUUUCGGGUAACCAUUUUGUCAAGUGUAGUAUGGUCGUAUAUAAUAAGCUUUAUUUUAUACUAUAAACCUUUUCACUACUUUAUCUUAAAAAAAUUAAAUGAAGUAAGUACAUAAGGUAUCGUAAUCUG
rnacentral:lncRNA from 1 species